rnacentral:rRNA from 1 species
UCUCUUCGGAGAUACACGAGUGGCGAACGGGUGCGUAACGCGUAUGCAACUACCUUUAACAGAGAGAUAGCCCUGAGAAAUUGGGAUUAAUAUCACAUAAUAUCGUAAUGCAGCAUUGUAUAAUGAUUAAAGCUCCGGCGGUUAAAGAUGGGCAUGCGUGACAUUAGUUAGUUGGUGAGGUAACGGCUCACCAAGACUUCGAUGUCUAGGGGUUCUGAGAGGAUUAUCCCCCCACACUGGUACUGAGACACGGACCCAGACUCC